UUCACAUUCUCGAAGUCUACUGCG
rnacentral:miRNA from 1 species